ensembl:lincRNA
AACAUUUCUGGAGGUCCCACAGAGAUCAAGUCGCCAUACCCUUGUUGGUUAUAGGGGCUGCCGCUCCUGGGCCCUGCAGCCCCGGACAGCCCCUGGAACAAAGAAGUGUGUACCCCUGAAGAAUUCCCUCUGUGGGGUUUCCUUCUAGGAGGCCAGAAAGAGCUGCAAAGCCCUGGACCGGAGCCUCUUAUCAGAUGAAGCGAGACAGAGACCAGUGUGGACAUCAAGACCAGCUCUCAAAGUCUCAGGCAUCAAGUGACUGGAUGGACUGGAUCCAUCACUUCCACAUCAAGGCGGCUGUGAAUCCGAAACGGGUGGACUGCCAGAGCUGCCCCAGACCAGCCUCUGAAGUUGACAAUAUCCAAGCAACCUCAAGAUGGGAGCAACGACUCUGCAUGCCCUACAUCCUGACGUCCCUGUUGACCCUGUGGAUGCCCAGCUGGACUGGCUACCACUCAGAUUCCAUGGCCCUGAGGACUGAGCUGGUUUGGAAGGCUACCCUGUCCCAAGGGGACCCCUAGUCCUGGGUACCUAUUAAUAUAACUAAUUACCCUCCUCAAGGGGCAUGCCUCCUUCAGAUGGUGUUAGCACCCUGGUUUUGGUCAGCGGAUUGUCCCAUUGACCUCAUCCUGUUGUGAUGGGACUGCCCAGGCCAGAAGAGACUGCACUGCCUUGGAAAGAUCUCCCCAAAUGGUUGCUGCAUAUGGGUGUAUCCCCAGAGAGCAUGAUGACAACUGGAGACCUCUACUGGUUUUUCUUCAAGGAGUGGUCAUGUGUGGACUUGGCCUCUGAAGGAGCUUGGCAGGGAGCUCCCACUUCAGGGCGGGGGAUUAAAGGUGUGACAGGUCAAGAAAGAGGACAUCAAAGUGGCAGGACCUUUGACUUAUCUUCACAUAGGCAGAACUGGUAAAAGAAAGGAGCCAGGGGCUCCUCCCAAGCCCAUGUGACCCCUGAGGAACAGAUCCUCAAAAGACCUUAAAAAGAGUAAAAAUAAAUUGGUUUAUCUGGGCCAAAUGUAUGGCCUUAAACACCCAAAAGGAAAGUAUAACCAAAGAUUAAAGAGGCCAGUAUAAUUUUUUAAGAGUCCAUAUGUAUAGCUAAAGGCUACAUAACAAGCAACAAUGCCAGAUAGGAGAUACCUUCUUUUGAGUUGUUGGCCAGGGUGGCCCAAGGGACUCCCAGAUAGUAACCCAGCAUAGAACUGGGAAAAUGAACAGCAGACCCCAAUCUUAUCUAAAGGGAUAUUGACAACUGAUUGCUGCUAGAUGAGGAACAGCUGACCUUCCUAAAACAAAGACCUCUAGAUAGGCUGACUAGAUUCACCAGAUGGACAAGUAGGGGGGGAUGGCUUGUGGUGCCAGCAACACAGCAGACAGUAGCAGGGAUAACAGAGUAUAAGGGCUCUAGUAGGGGGAGGGAGGCUAUGGGAGGGUGCCAUCUGGGAAGUGGGUGUAUAGUUGAAUAAGAUGGUUUGGGAUGUUCUGUGUACAGAAAAAAAAAAAACAAAUAAAAAAAACGUAUUUGAGGAAGAAGCGUAAAAAUUACGUCAUGUUAAUUAGUAGAGGUGAUGAACAUUACCAUUGAAAUCUGCCCGAAGACUUUAUAGACAUAUACAAGCGCCAAGGAUCCACGUGCAAACGAUUAUGACUAGUAAUAAUCAGAUACAUACAGAUUAGAGACACACGCCAACAUCUCAGUGUUAAUAGCAAAAACAAUGAGUCUUUCUGUAAGAAACAGUAUAUUUUAGAAUGAAAUGGAGAUCUCUUGAGGGCUAAAAACUCAUUCAAUUUUAUGUCUUACAGGGCUUAUACUGAGUUCAAUAUUGUAUAACUGUAUUGAUUCAACAGUGAACCUAGAAAUUGUAUAGGCACUUUUGAAGGAGCUGUGUCUUUGCUCUGGAAACUGUUAUUGGGCAUGUUAAAGCUGUAAUGAUAUGCUUCUUCUAAAAAAAAAAAAAACCAAAACAAUAUUUUUAAAAUGUAGGAAACAGCAUAUCAUGAAAUGGAGAUCUUCUUUAAAGAGUAAAAACUCAUUCAGUUUUAUAUCUUACAG